rnacentral:snRNA from 1 species
AUACUCUGGUUUCUCUUCAGAUCAUAGAAAUCUUUCCCCUUUUACUAAAGAUUUCUGUGGAGAGAAACAAGCAAGGGUUUUAAGCCAAUUUUUUUGGCCUUGUUUUGGUAAGGC